rnacentral:rRNA from 1 species
GACGAACGCUGGCGGCGUGCCUAAUACAUGCAAGUUGAGCGAUGAAGCUUGGUGCUUGCCCCAAUUUGAAGAGCAGCGAACGGGUGAGUAACGCGUGGGGAAUCUGCCUUUGAGCGGGGGACAACAUUUGGAAACGAAUGCUAAUACCGCAUAAUAACUUUAAACAUAAGUUUUAAGUUUGAAAGAUGCAAUUGCAUCACUCAAAGAUGAUCCCGCGUUGUAUUAGCUAGUUGGUGAGGUAAAGGCUCACCAAGGCGAUGAUACAUAGCCGACCUGAGAGGGUGAGCGGCGCCAUUUGGACUGUGACACGGCGCAAACUCCCACGGGAGGGAGCGGAAGGGGAACUUUGCGGAUGGACGCGAGACUGACCGCGCAACGCGGCGUGAGUGUAGAGAGGUUUCGCGUCGUGAAAAUCUGUGGGUAGAGAAGAGAGUGGGGGAGAGUGGAAAGAGCAUCAAGUGACGGUAACUACACAGAGAGAGACGGCUAACUACGUG